UACGUAGGGGGCAAGCGUUGUCCGGAAUUAUUGGGCGUAAAGAGCGCGUAGGCGGUCCGAUAAGUCGGCUGUGAAAGUCAGGGGCUCAACCCUUGGAAGCCGGCCGAUACUGUCGGACUAGAGUCCGGAAGAGGCGAGUGGACUUCCCGGUGUAGCGGUGAAAUGCGCAGAUAUCGGGAGGAACACCAAUGGCGAAGGCAGCUCGCUGGGACGGUACUGACGCUGAGGCGCGAAAGCGUGGGGAGCAAACAGG
rnacentral:rRNA from 1 species